rnacentral:rRNA from 1 species
CACGUGGAUAAUCUACCCGACAGUCAGGGAUAACAUUUCGAAAGGAAUGCUAAUACCUGAUAAGCCUACGCCCUCUUCGGAGGAAGUAGGAAAAGGUGGGGACCUUCGGGCCUGCCGUUGUUGGAUGAGUCCGCGGCCCAUUAGCUAGUUGGUAGGGUAAUGGCCUACCAAGGCUACGAUGGGUAGCUGGUCUGAGAGGAUGAUCAGCCACACUGGAACUGAGACACGGUCCAG